rnacentral:rRNA from 1 species
GAAUAGGGGAGGCGCAGCGAAAGCGAGUCCGAACAGGGCGACAAGAGUCGUUGGGCGUAGACCCGAAACCAGAUGAUCUAUCCAUGGUCAGGUUGAAGGUGUGGUAACACACACUGGAGGACCGAACCGACUAGUGUUGCAAAAUUAGCGGAUGAACUGUGGAUAGGGGUGAAAGGCUAAACAAAUCUGGAGAUAGCUGGUUCUCCCCGAAAACUAUUGAGGUAGUGCCUCGUGUAUGACUCCAGGGGGUAGAGCACUGUUAUGGCUAGGGGGACAUGGCGUCUUACCAAACCAUGGCAAACUCCGAAUACUUGGAAGUUUGAGCACGGGAGACAGAGCACCGGGUGCUAACGUCCGGACUCAAAAGGGAAACAACCCAGACCGCCGGCUAAGGUCCCAAAUAUCGGCUAAGUGGAAAACGAAGUGGAAAGGCUAAGACAGUCAGGAAGUUGGCUUAGAAGCAGCCAUCCUUCAAAGAAAGCGUAAUAGCUCACUGAUCGAGUCUUUCUGCGCGGAAGAUGUAACGGGGCUAAGUCGAUAACCGAAGCCGCGGAUUCGCAGCAAUGCGAGUGGUAGGGGAGCGUUCCGUAAGCCUGCGAAGGCGGACCCGCGAGGGCCGCUGGAGGUAUCGGAAGUGCGAAUGCUGACAUGAGUAACGUUAAAGCGGGUGAAAAGCCCGCUCGCCGCAAGCCCAAGGUUUCCUGCUCUACGUUCAUCGGAGCAGGGUGAGUCGGCCCCUAAGGCGAGGCUGAGAAGCGUAGCCGAUGGGAAGCAGGUUAAUAUUCCUGCACCGCCGCCAAGUGCGAAGGGGGGACGGAGCAUUGAAGGUCAUCCGGGUGUUGGAAAUCCCGGUUUACGAGCGUAGGAGGUCGACAGGCAAAUCCGUCGACGAAUCUCCGAGGCGAAGGAUCGAGAGCCGUAUGGCUUGAAGUGACCGGAUGUGCUUCCAGGAAAAGCCUCUAAGCGUCAGCUUGGCGGGACCGUACCGCAAACCGACACUGGUGGGCGAGCUGAAUAUGCUCAGGCGCUUGAGAGAACUCAGGAGAAGGAACUCGGCAAAUUGACACCGUAACUUCGGGAUAAGGUGUGCCUUUGUAGCGUGAAGGGAGAAACACCCGGAGCGUGAAGAGGUCUCAGAGAAUCGGUGGCUGCGACUGUUUACUAAAAACACAGCACUCUGCAAAGAUGAAAGUCGACGUAUAGGGUGUGAUGCCUGCCCGGUGCUGGAAGAUUAAUUGAUGGGGUGCAAGCCCUUGAUCGAAGUCCCAGUAAACGGCGGCCGUAACUAUAACGGUCCUAAGGUAGCGAAAUUCCUUGUCGGGCAAGUUCCGACCUGCACGAAUGGCAUAACGAUGGCCACACUGUCUCCUCCUGAGACUCAGUGAAGUUGAAGUGUUUGUGAUGAUGCAAUCUCCCCGCGGCUAGACGGAAAGACCCCAUGAACCUUUACUGCAGCUUUGCAUUGGACUUUGAACCGAUCUGUGUAGGAUAGGCGGGAGGCAGAGAAACCGGGACGCCAGUACCGGUGGAGCCAUCCUUGAAAUACCGCCCUGAUUUGUUUGAGGUUCUAACCUAGGCCCGUGAACCGGGUCGGGGACCGUGCAUGGUAGGCAGUUUGACUGGGGCGGUCUCCUCCUAAAGGGUAACGGAGGAGUGCGAAGGUACGCUAGGUACGGUCGGAAAUCGUGCUGAUAGUGCAAUGGCAAAAGCGUGCUUGACUGCGAGACCGACAAGUCGAGCAGAUACGAAAGUAGGUCAUAGUGAUCCGGUGGCUCUGAAUGGAAGGGCCAUCGCUCAACGGAUAAAAGGUACUCUGGGGAUAACAGGCUGAUACCGCCCAAGAGUUCAUAUCGACGGCGGUGUUUGGCACCUCGAUGUCGGCUCAUCUCAUCCUGGGGCUGUAGCCGGUCCCAAGGGUAUGGCUGUUCGCCAUUUAAAGAGGUACGUGAGCUGGGUUUAAAACGUCGUGAGACAGUUUUGUCCCUAUCUGCCGUGGGCGCUGGAAGAUUGACGGGGGCUGCUCCUAGUACGAGAGGACCGGAGUGGACUCACCUCUGGUGUACCGGUUGUCGCGCCAGCGGCAUCGCCGGGUAGCUAUGUGGGGAAGAGAUAACCGCUGAAAGCAUCUAAGCGGGAAACUUGCCUGAAGAUAAGUCUUCCUGGAGGCU